AUCUAUUUCGUUUUAAUUUAACAGAAACAUCAUAAAUCAAGGAAAAAAACACUCUAAUCUCUCUCUCUUUCUCUUUGUUCUUCCUUGGAUUCAAACAUGAAAUGUUUAAGCAUGCAGGUUCAUAAAUGAAAAGAGAAGAGAAAGAUGAACACAAAGAUGUAUAGUGGUUCAGUGUUUACACCUACAUCUACUCUUCAAAUGAUCUUCAAGCUUUAUUCAUCUUCUAGAUUACAAAAUACCAAUAAACAAAGACAAGUUCUUCUUCGCACCUCCCUCUUAAACUCUAUUUCUCUGUAUUUUCAUAUACAAGCUACUCACACAGAAAAUGAAUAUUAUGUUGUGCAUUUUUUUUCUUGCUUUUGCUUUUAUUAUAGAUAACUAGAAAACAGCCGAGUAAAUUUCUUAUAACUAUUUAACAUCCACUAACUAUUUUCUGUUUUAUUUGUUUUGACAGGAGUUGGAGAUUUUGGUUCAGCUUCUCAAUAAAUAUCCCUUUUGAAGCAAAAUCUCCUUGAAGAUCAUCAAACAUGUGGUUGGAGAUUUUUCAUCUUCUUUCUCAAUUGGCUCUGAGCGAAGGGUUCUUUCCAAGAAAAAGUUUACAAAGAAGAAAAGUUCUUCUCUUCCCUCUCCCCCUAUCCAUCUCCUUCCCUCUUCCAAGGAUUCAAGCAAAGCCCACAACUCUUGCUUGAAUCCUUUAUCCCAAGAGAAUAUAGAGGGUUCUCAAGUGGUGGUGUUCGCGUGAAAAAGGAGAUCCGAGUGGAGAAGAAGUUCCGUUUGUGGCUUGUACGAGGGAGUUUUUGAAGAAAGGGUUCUGUAAAAGGAUCCCUCUCAUCUGGAUGUGAUAUCGAUUCAUUCAUGUACCCCUCAUGAACUCGGGACGUUACAUGCGCACCAGCUUCCACUUGGUUCGUCCCCGAACUACAUCUUACUGGGAGAGGAGUUGGAGAUUUUGGUUUAACAUCUCAACAAAAGUAUAAUCAUAAAGAGAAACUAUAGUGUAUUUAAAAAACAAGAUAUAUCUUUAUAAAAAAGAAAAACAUAUGUAGUUGAGAAAAUACCCUAUAUUAAAGAAAAAAAAAAACAACAUAACCAAGUAUAUAAUCGUUUGUAGAAGCCAAAAAAUACAACACAACACAUAUAGUAAGAGACUGUUUGGGGCGCUAAGAUGAUAUAGGAUGUGGGGAGUUCUAAUGUCUGGGGAGUUCUAAUGUAUGUGUUUGGGUGUGUAGAGUUGUUAUGUCUGAGUUGAUAUGUCUGUGUUUGGAUGUGCAAAGUUGUAAGUCUGAGUUCAUGUCUGUGUUUGGGUGUGUAGAGUUGUUAUGUCUGAGUUCAUAUGUCUGUGUUUAGGUGUACAAAAUUGUCAUAUUAGUGCUAUCUGGUUUAGUUUUUAUACUC